UGACAGAGGGUGCGAGCGUUAAUCGGAAUUACUGGGCGUAAAGCGCGCGUAGGCGGCUUUGCAAGUCGGGUGUGAAAUCCCCAGGCUUAACCUGGGAACUGCAUUCGAGACUGCAUUGCUAGAGUAUGGGAGAGGGAAGUGGAAUUCAGGUGUAGCGGUGAAAUGCGUAGAUAUCUGAAGGAACAUCAGUGGCGAAAGCGACUUCCUGGACCAAUACUGACGCUCAUGUGCGAAAGCGUGGGGAGCAAACAGGAUUAGAAAACCCUU
rnacentral:rRNA from 1 species